rnacentral:lncRNA from 1 species
UGGGGUAGUAGUAGUAGCAGCUAUAGCCAUACGGAAUGGAACGGAACGGAAUCGUUUGGCAAAUGCUGUGCCCAGCUCAAUGCAAUCGCCGGAGGCAGCAGCCAUGGCCGCCGCCGAACCAGCAGAUACUUCAGGGCUUCCAGAUGAUGGUGGUCUCGGCGAUCAUGGAGGUCACCACGUAGGGGUCCAUGUUGGACGCCGGCCGGCGGUCCUCGAAGUAGCCCUUGCCGUUCUGCUCCGUCUCCCGGCCCACGCGCACUGACGCGCCACGGUUGGCGACUCCCUGCACCAGACAACACAAAAAAGAGUUGGCAUUGGCACACGCCGGGUUCCCUUCGCUACGGCAUAUUCAGGCACAUUAGGGGGGAUGCGGACGUACCCAGCUGAAGGUGUUGAUGUCGGCCGUCUCGUGCUUGCCGGUCAGCCGGCGCUCGUUGCCCUCACCGUAGGCGGCGAUGUGCUCCUUGUGCCGCAGCUUCAGCUUCUCGAUAGCGGCCUUGAUCACCUCGUACCCGCCAUCGUUCCUCAUGGACUUGGUGCUGUAGUUCGUGUGGGCACCGGCACCGUUCCAGUCACCAGGGAUGGGCUUGGGGUCGAAUGUCACCACCACACCGGCGAUCUCGGUGAUCCUCUGUAAAGAAGAGGGGACAGAUUAGCUCACAGGUGUUUGAAAUCUUGCUUGAUUUAAGAUCAUACAUAGAGUCGAGAAGUCGCAUCCACACCUCAAGAAUGUAGCGGGCAACCCACACCUGGUCACCAGCAGAAAUGCCGACGGACGGGCCGACU